UGAGGAAUAUUGCACAAUGGGCGCAAGCCUGAUGCAGCGACGCCGCGUGUGGGAUGAAGGGGCUACGCCUCGUAAACCACUGUAGCCCGGGACGAAAAACGCCUUAGAGGCGUUAGACGGUACCGGGAAAGUAAGGGUCGGCUAACUACGUGCCAGCAGCCGCGGUAAUACGUAGGGUGCGAGCGUUAAUCGGAAUUACUGGGCGUAAAGGGUGCGCAGGCGGUCUUGCAAGUCAGAUGUGAAAGCCCCGGGCUUAACCUGGGAAUUGCGUUUGAAACUACAAGACUAGAGUGCAGCAGAGGGGAGUGGAAUUCCAUGUGUAGCAGUGAAAUGCGUAGAGAUGUGGAAGAACACCGAUGGCGAAGGCAGCUCCCUGGGUUGACACUGACGCUCAUGCACGAAAGCGUGGGGAGCAAACA
rnacentral:rRNA from 1 species